rnacentral:tRNA from 2 species
GCGGACAUGGUGGAAUUGGCAGACACGUUGGAUUUAGGUUCCAAUGGGAAACCGUGCAGGUUCGAAUCCUGUUGUCCGCACCA